rnacentral:rRNA from 1 species
GAGUUUGAUCCUGGCUCCAGGACGACGCUGGCGGCGUGCUUAACACAUGCAAGUCGAACGAGCACCCUUGACUGAGUUUCGGCCAAAUGAUAGGAAUGCUUAGUGGCGACGGGUGAGUAACGCGUGAGCAACCUGCCUUUCAGAGGGGGACAACGUUUUGGAAACGAACGCUAAUACCGCAUAAGAUCGUAGGGCCACAUGGUCCAGCGACCAAAGGAGCAAUCCGCUGAAAGAUGGGCUCGCGUCUGAUUAGAUAGUUGGUGGGGUAACGGCCUACCAAGUCGACGAUCAGUAGCCGGACUGAGAGGUUGAACGGCCACAUUGGGACUGAGAUACGGCCCAGACUCCUACGGGAGGCAGCAGUGGGGAAUAUUGCACAAUGGGGGAAACCCUGAUGCAGCAACGCCGCGUGAAGGAUGACGGUUUUCGGAUUGUAAACUUCUGUUCUCGUUGACGAAGACAGUGACGGUAAACGAGGAGCAAGCCACGGCUAACUACGUGCCAGCAGCCGCGGUAA